CUACGGGGCGCUGCAGUGGGGAAUAUUGCACAAUGGAGGAAACUCUGAUGCAGCAACGCCGCAUGGAGGAUGACACUUUUCGGAGCGUAAACUCCUUUUAUAUAGGAAGAAGAUGACAGUACUAUAUGAAUAAGCGCCGGCUAACUCCGUGCCAGCAGCCGCGGUAAUACGGAGGGCGCAAGCGUUACUCGGAAUCACUGGGCGUAAAGAGCGUGUAGGCGGAUUAAAAAGUCAGAAGUGAAAUCCUAUAGCUUAACUAUAGAACUGCUUCUGAAACUCUUAAUCUAGAAUAUGGGAGAGGUAGAUGGAAUUUCUGGUGUAGGGGUAAAAUCCGUAGAGAUCAGAAGGAAUACCGAUUGCGAAGGCGAUCUACUAGAACAUUAUUGACGCUGAGACGCGAAAGCGUGGGGAGCAAACAGGAUUAGAUACCCGUGUAGUC
rnacentral:rRNA from 1 species